rnacentral:lncRNA from 1 species
UCCCCCCUUUCCCUGUACGACUGACUAGGUAUCCCCCCUUUCCCUGUACAACUGACUAGGUAUCCCCCCUUUCCCUGUACAACUGACUAGGUAUCCCCCCUUUCCCUGUACGACUGACUAGGUAUCCCCCCUUUCCCUGUACGACUGACUAGGUAUCCCCCCCUUUCCCUGUACGACUGACUAGGUAUCCCCCCCUUUCCCUGUACGACUGACUAGGUAUCCCCCCCUUUCCCUGUACGACUGACUAGGUAUCCCCCCCUUUCCCUGUACAACUGACUAGGUAUCCCUUUUUCCCACUGACUAGGUAUCCCCCCUUUCCCUGUACAACUGACUAGGUAUCCCCCCUUUCCCUGUACAACUGACUAGGUACCCCCCCUUUCC